rnacentral:lncRNA from 1 species
GGAUGUUCUCCUAAAUGGGAAGCCUUAAUUCUGUGUGUAAUUUAUAAAGCCAUGGAGAAGAGGAGACAGAGUGUGCAAGGGAAUGAAGAAAAGGAACAAGACUAUUUUCAAAUCACCCAUGGCACUACUAGAAAUGUAUUUCAGCAAAAGGACUGGCUGAUUUUAUGAUUCCUGUGUCCACCACAGCCCUCUAAUUUUUACAUAGGUACCCCACAUCUCUCUAGAUUUCAGGAAGACUAUUAUCCUUCGACUUUAGCUUUCUGAUGGGUUCACAAAAAGCCAUUAGUGUGCUGUUG